GAGCUCUUCUCUUGGACGGUAACACCUUGAACUACUUCGGGAAGAACAUCCCCAUCAACCUUGUGGUGGCUGUCGUUGCCGAAGUCGUCCUUGUUGGUGGUGCUGAAUAUUACAGAAUCAUCAAUGGCUUGGUAUGCCAUGCACUUUAUAAAUGAUAAUAAUUUACUACCAAAACCAGACAUUGUAUAUUCUGAUCCCUUCAUUGAUAUGUAAAUAGGAUCUGGAGGACAAGCUUCACCCUGGGGGACCAUUUGACCCACUGGGGUUAGCCAAGGAUCCAGACCAGGCUGCUUUGCUGAAGGUGAAAGAGAUAAAAAACGGUAGACUCGCGAUGUUCGCCAUGCUCGGUUUCUUCUUACAAGCUUAUGUGACCGGAGAAGGUCCGGUGGAGAACCUUUCGAAGCACCUGAGCGAUCCUUUUGGCAACAACUUGCUCACGGUCAUCGCUGGAACUGCUGAAAGAGCUCCCACCCUCUGAUUUUAAUAUCUUUGUUUUCUGAUUUUCGCCGCUACUUGUUAUUGCGUUUAUGCAUUUUGUUGUACAUCAAACUUAUCGGAUAAUUCCCGAGAACUUUAAUC
rnacentral:lncRNA from 1 species